AUAAAUUUUCUUAAAAAUAAGAACUUUUUAAGAAAAUUAUGCUGUUAUCCCUAAGGUAAUUUAAUUUUUUAAUCUAUAAAAAAAGAUCAAUUAAACAAAAAUUUUUGAUCUUAAAAAUUUAAAGUUUUUUAUAUUUAAAUAUCACCCCAACAAAUUACAUCAUAAAUAAUAAUAUAAAUAAAAUAACUUACUAAUAAUUAUAUAAUUAUAUAAAACUCUAUAGGGUCUUCUCGUCCCUUUAAUUAAUUUUAGCUUUCUUACUAAAAAAUAAACUUCAAGUAUUAAAUUAGAAACAGUAUAUAUUUCAUUCAAUCUUUCAUUCUAGAUUUCAAUUAAAAAC
rnacentral:rRNA from 1 species